UACGUAGGGGGCAAGCGUUGUCCGGAUUUACUGGGCGUAAAGAGCGUGUAGGCGGUCCGGUAAGUCCGCUGUGAAAGUCGGGGGCUCAACCCUCGAAUGCCGGUGGAUACUGUCGGGCUAGAGUGCGGAAGAGGCGAGUGGAAUUCCUGGUGUAGCGGUGAAAUGCGCAGAUACCAGGAGGAACACCUAUUGCGAAGGCAGCUCGCUGGGACGUUACUGACGCUGAGACGCGAAAGCGUGGGGAGCAAACAGG
rnacentral:rRNA from 1 species